CCUACGGGAGGCAGCAGUGAGGAAUAUUGGUCAAUGGGCGUAAGCCUGAACCAGCCAAGUCGCGUGAGGGAUGAAGGUUCUAUGGAUCGUAAACCUCUUUUAUAAGGGAAUAAAGUGUGGGACGUGUCCUGUUUUGUAUGUACCUUAUGAAUAAGGAUCGGCUAACUCCGUGCCAGCAGCCGCGGUAAUACGGAGGAUCCGAGCGUUAUCCGGAUUUAUUGGGUUUAAAGGGUGCGUAGGCGGGUCUUUAAAUCAGCGUGGCAAGUCUGUGGCUGAACCCUCGAAUUGCCGUUGAAACUGGGUGUCUUGAGUGGGUGUGAGGCACGCGGCAUUCGUGGUGUCGCGGUGAAAGGCAUAGAUAUCCCGCAGAACCCCGAUUGCGAGGGGAGCUUGACAACUCAGGACUGACGCUGAUUCACGAAAGCGUGGGUAUCAAACAGGAUUAGAUACCCCUGUAGUC
rnacentral:rRNA from 1 species